UACGUCGGGGGCUAGCGUUGUCCGGAAUCAUUGGGCGUAAAGAGCGUGUAGGCGGCCCGGUAAGUCCGCUGUGAAAGUCGGGGGCUCAACCCUCGAAUGCCGGUGGAUACUGUCGGGCUAGAGUGCGGAAGAGGCGAGCGGAAUUCCUGGUGUAGCGGUGAAAUGCGCAGAUAUCAGGAGGAACACCGAUUGCGAAGGCAGCUCGCUGGGACGUCACUGACGCUGAGACGCGAAAGCGUGGGGAGCAAACAGG
rnacentral:rRNA from 1 species